UUGUGUAUCGGAAGAAAAUAAAUACCUUCCUAAGUAAAUACACCUAUUAAUAAAUUGUCAUCAUUAAAUCAUCGAUAGACAAGUUAAUGCUACUAGUGGUUGCUUAAAGUGUGUCCAUACGUUUUCGCUAUGACGUGAUGAAUAGUUAACCUAAAGUUUUUAAACCAUACUUUUCAGCUAUCAAUAUUGAAUUAGGUGGAUUUAUCGUUGGAUGCCUGUUAUUAAACUGUAAUUUUGUUUUCCAUCGGAUACUUGUAAUAAAAGUACAGUUCUAAUGAGCAAUUGCGUACAACGUACACUUACAUUCUUUAAAUAAAGAAGUGGCUGAAUCUGUUUUCUUUUUUUUUUUUUUACAGUGAAGUGGAAAAUCUGACUGAAAAAGUCGAAAAAUACGAAGCGGCUACGAGCGAACAGAACGACCAACGUAGAAGGGCUAUCGAGACGGUGAACCGCGAAUUUACGAUUUGGCGUCUUGAGGCAAGAAAUAUCAAGAAUAAUUCUGUAAUUAUCCCACUUAGACUUUAGCUCAAAUAAAUAGCUUCUACUUAGUUAGCUACCUGUAUCAGCCUCUCAGAAGCAACGUAAACUAACCAGUAUAUCAGUUUAAAUAAGAAUUUACAGUAACCGCCGGGAUCAGUUAUGAAAUUAAAAUGCAUUACACGAAUGAAGUGGGCUUUGCAUGAAUAAACGAAUAAGUAUAGGUACUCAUACGGUUUUUCUCGUUCAAUUUGGAAUUAAUUUUUCAAAAAGCUGAAAUUGCACUCGCUGCAUGCCAAUCAUA